rnacentral:lncRNA from 1 species
AGAUGGAAAAGUGAAGCCCAGAAGGAAGGGACCUGACACGGAGGCUUCCUUGGUAGCAUUUCAGUCUCAAGGGAAGAACUGUGGGCCUCCCCUGGAGCACUGGUGAAGUAAGGGGUUGGUUUGGAUAUUGUCUCCUGACUGGGAUAUGGGCAGGACUGACAGGGAGCUGGAGUCCUAACGAAGCCUGGGCUAGGUGCAGGAAGAACCAACCCAGUGGUCUCCUGACAUCUCCCACGCCCCCACCGCAGCUGGGUCACCUCCAGAAUACGGAGGAGAGAGCUGGAGGUGGAGGAACUAAGGACCUUCUUUGCCAGGUGGGGACUUAAAGCAUACAGUGAAGUUGUUCUCUGAAGUUCCUCAUCUGCCUUAAGUCUGGACCCACCAAAGAAGAAAACAAUGACCACUGGUCCCUUCCCGGAGUUUUCUCUGACUGAACUGCUGUCACAGGAAGAAAGACUGAAGCCUGCUCACAUACCUGGACAGAUUUUGCAAACCGUUGUCUGCUCUGUGAGCCCAACAGACUUUGUCCCAGGCCACUGUAUGUUCUUCAAGCCCACUGAAUUCCCCUGAAAAUCAUUUACUAGCCCCCUGAAAUUACCCACACUUCCCCAUUGCUCAUCUGUACCCCAUUUCGUGGUGGGGCAGUCACUCUGAUUUCCCCUUGCAUGCUAAUGAAUGUGUAUUCCAUUUCUA